UGGGGAAUAUUGGACAAUGGGCGCAAGCCUGAUCCAGCAAUGCCGCGUGUGUGAAGAAGGCCUUCGGGUUGUAAAGCACUUUUAUCAGGAGCGAAACGCUGUCGGCUAAUACCCGGCGGAACUGACGGUACCUGAGGAAUAAGCACCGGCUAACUUCGUGCCAGCAGCCGCGGUAAUACGAAGGGUGCAAGCGUUAAUCGGAAUUACUGGGCGUAAAGCGUGCGUAGGCGGUUUCUUAAGUCUGCUGUGAAAUCCCCGGGCUCAACCUGGGAAUGGCAGUGGAUACUGGGAGGCUAGAGUGUGUCAGAGGGUGGUGGAAUUCCCGGUGUAGCGGUGAAAUGCGUAGAGAUCGGGAGGAACAUCAGUGGCGAAGGCGGCCACCUGGGACAACACUGACGCUGAGGCACGAAAGCGUGGGGAGCAAACAGGAUUAGAUACCCUGGUAGUCCACGCCCUAAAGCGAUGCGAACUGGAUGUUGGUCUCAACUCGGAGAUCAGUGUCGAAGCUAACGCGUUAAGUUCGCCGCCUGGGGAGUACGGUCGCAAGACUGAAACUCAAAUGAAUUGACGGGGUCAUAGCGGUUUCCU
rnacentral:rRNA from 1 species